AACACAACGAACCUCACAAGAGUUUUAUAAUCAUCAACCAAGAGAAUGCCAUGUGAGAUGAGUGAACAAAACACCUUGAUGAAGUUGGAAAACCAAGUUUUGAAAAGUCCUCCUAGGAAU